rnacentral:misc_RNA from 1 species
AACGAACGUUGCCUACUGACCGACAACCCAUGGUCACCGGAUGACCGAUUAUCCCGAUGAAUCGGACCCAGGAUCGAGCAGAUGCACGAUUUUCUUUCGGUUUCCAUUCGCGCAACAUUGAAUCAGGAGCCUCAGAAAGGGAGGAACGCGGUAGGAUCGGGGAUCACAAUGAGCGAUCGUUAUGCGUAUUCAAAAUGGCCUUACCUGGCCAGGGUGUAGCCAGAGCCUAUUGUUGACCCUCUACUUUCUACGAAAACGCAGUCGAUUGUGCAAACCGAGCUCACGUGCAACUGCGAGACGAUACGAUGAAACCAGCCCUUAUGCUUCUUUCAGCUUCCGGACCAUGAGAAAAGGUUAACUACUCGUACGAAUAUCUACCACAUUCCAU